rnacentral:rRNA from 1 species
UUGCAUCAGGGUUUAUUAAUUUAAUAAAGUUAUCUUUUUUUCUCGAAACUUUAAGAUUUAAUUUAAAAUAAUUUUUUUUAUUAUAAAACAUUUUUUAAUUUUAAGUUAGGGGUUAUAUGCUUUUCAUUUAAAGUUAUAUCUAGUUGAUUAAUAAUUGAAUUUAAUUCAUUUUCAUUAAGUUUUAAUUAAAUUUAAUUUUAAAGAUUUUUUGAAGUAAAUUUUUUGGGGAUAAGCUCAAAUUUAUUUUUUAAAACAUUUAUUAAUUAAAAGAUUUUUUUUAGGAUUUAAAAUUUUCAUUUUAUUUUGUUAUAAUAAUUUUUCUUUUUUAAAGAUUUAUAUUUGUUUAAUUAUUUAUUAAUUUAUAUAUAUAAAUUUAUAUUUUUUAUAAAAAAUGAUAAAAUUAGUAAUUUUUUUAAUUGAAAAUCAGGAAUUCGGCAAAAUUAAUUUUCACCUGUUUAACAAAAACAUGGUCUUUUGUUUUUUAUUUAAGAUCAGGCCUGCCCAUUGAUUUAUUAAUUAAAAGGCUGCAGUAUUUUAACUGUACUAAGGUAGCAUAAUCAUUUGUCUUUUAAUUGAAGGCUAGAAUGAAUGGUUUGAUGAAAAAUUUUCUUUCUUAUUUUUAUUUAAUUUAAAUUAAUUUUUUAGUUAAAAAGCUAAAAUUUUUUUAUAGGACGAGAAGACCCUUUAGAAAUUAACUUUUUUUAAAAAGUUUUAUUUUUUUUAUAAAUAUAAAUUUUUGAUUAAAAAGUUUUGUUGGGGUGACAGUUAAAUUUUAUUAACUUUAAUUUUUUUAUUUUCAUAAAUUCAUGUUUUUUUGAUCCAAAAUUUUUGAUUAUAAGAAUAAUUUACCUAAGGGAUAACAGCGUAAUUUUUUUUGAGAGUUCAUAUCGAUGAAAAAGUUUGCGACCUCGAUGUUGAAUUAAGAUAAGAUUUGGGUGUAGAUUUUCAAUUUUCUUGGUCUGUUCGACCAUUAAAUUCUUACAUGAUUUGAGUUCAGACCGGCGUGAGCCAGGUCGGUUUCUAUCCUUAAUUAAUAUAAAUUAGUACGAAAGGACCAUUUAUUUCAAUAAAAUUGUUUUUAUUUUUGAAUAA